AUCCACCUCAACAGGGCUGUUGGGGAGCGGGUCGAGAGCGUCAAGUUCCUCGGUGUCCAAACCCUACACUGCAAAAAGUGAAAUCUAAACAAGCUAUAUAUCUUAUAUUGAUUUAUAAUUCUCUUAAAAUGACCUAUUUUCUUGUUUUUUUCAUACCAAGCUAAAUUAUCUAAUGUCAUUUUUGCUUAUUUUUGUGGUGUUAUUUACAUAUUGCAUCCUGAUUGGCCAUAUGCUAAUGAAGGCCAGUGGGAAUUUAGAGGUUCAUGAAGAAAGCGUCUCUCUCUCUCUCUCUCAUGGGGCUUGUAAUGUGAAGCAAUGUCAAGUUAGCAAUACAUUUUCCUUCAUGAAGAUACUCCUUUAGUUGUUAUUUUACUCACGUAUAGACAAGUCUGAUUACACGAUAUGGUUUCAGAAGUGGACUAGAACGAGUGUAUUUACUAACAUAGUUUAUCUUACCGGGUUGAAAAGUUUUGGGAAGAAAAUUGAAGAGGCUAAUCAGCAUGGAAGACGUCGCAGGAGAAGCGCAGCAGUGAGUAGAGGAAGAGGCCAGGCUCCUGUUCAAGGUGCAGCGGGAGGGGCACAGAUACUCACGCAUACAGGCCCAAGUGCUACAUUGUGCUUACAGCCACUAGAGCUGUUUGAUUUUUCUAAACCGCAAGAAUGGACCAAAUGGAUUAGGAGUUGCGAGCGCAUUUGUCAGUGAGGACUUAAAGUGGUCCAGGCACACCGUCGUACAGCGGGUGGUGUGGACAGCCCUGUACAUCACUGGGCCCGAGCUCCCUGACAUCCAGGACCUCUACAUCAGGCGGUGUGAAAGGAAGGUCCGGAAAAUUGUUAGACUCCAGCCACCCAAGCCAUAGACUGUUCUCCCUGUUUCCGCAUGGCGAGCGGUACUGGAGCAUCGAGUCUGAUACCAACAGGCUCCUGAACAGCUUCUAUCCCCAAGCCAUGACUGCUAAAUAGCUAACAAAAUGGCUAUACAGACUGUCUGCAUUGACCCUUUUAUUUUUGCAGACUAUGCACACUCACAGGACUCUACACACUCACUCACACACACAAACUCAUACUGACACUCCAACACACAUACACACACUCACACAAACACACUUGAUUUGGCCACGCACACACAUUCAUGCUGACUCUACACACACUUACACACACUCACUCACAUAAGAUCAUCAUAUAUGCUGUUGCUACUCUGUUUAUCAUACAUCCUGAUGCCUAGGCACCUUAUCCCGAUACAUACCUACCUACCCUUACCACUCCAGUAUCCCUGCACAUUGUAAAUAUAGUAUUGGCACUGACCCUGGAACUGACGCUGUAUAUAGCUUACUUACUUUCUUGUGUUCUUUCUGAUGUGUUUUUGUUCUACUUUAAUUUGUUUUAUAGUACUACUGAUUUUGAGUACUGCAUUGUUGGGAAAGAGCAAGAAAGGCAUUUCACUGUACUUGUGCAUGUGACAAUAAAACAUGAAACUUAUUCGCAAGUAAGUACCUUCUGUGCAUAGGCCGAGUACCUCCAGGGGUCCAUCUAGGCUAGCCCAGGUUGAGAACCACUGGUGUAUAAUGCAUUUUUUAAAAUCAGGCUUGGGAAGUGGACUCAAAAGGUCAUUAAAGCACAUCUCCUUGUCUGUACACACCUGCACUAUCUCUCCCUGCUGUCAGUCCCUACAGAAGGGAGUGUGUUUUGGUGUGGUGUAGCCUCAGGCAGGGUGUGGGAAAGCCUGUUUGAAUCCAGCAGAUUACUGGAUUCUCUUUAGCCUGUCCACCACACCCAUCCUGACAGACACACACACACACGCGCAUUUAAGACUUCUUACUUAAUCUAAAAAACAUGAACAUACACACACACACACACAAACACAGCGAAUGACUUACUCACACUCAAACAAAAAGACAGACAAGAACACAGACAUGCACACACACACACCUACCUGAAACAGUCAUCCGGACUCGAUAAACCAACCAACCAACAUACCCAGAUGACAUAUUGUCCUCAUUGUCUUACAGGAAUUAUUGCACAAUUACAGUGAUAAUUAAAUAUGUUCUACACUCUUGUGGCUUUGAGUCAAUGACUCUUAUCAUGGAGUGAAAUUCAGAUAAUCUCAUAUGACUACAUUGAUUACAGUCACGUCAUCUCAAAUGAUUACAUUUCCUGUGUAGCGUGCCCGUUCUUUGAUGACACAAGUGCUCAUUGUCCCAGGUUGUCAGUACUCUGUGGGGACAGAAGAAGUCCUGAAGACUGCUCCUAUCCCAGCCAGGCACCCAUGCCUGGCACAUAAUGUGCAAUGGAUGGGAUUGGACUAAUUCACUUAACAGCCAUUGUUUUUACAACAGCCUAACCCAUUCUAUAGCAUCUACUGUACACUGUGUGUCACUGAAGAAAGCAACAAGGCUUUGGGCCUAAUUCAUUACAUUUGCAUAAUGUUAGACAAAGAAAGACAUCCGUUUGAGUACUGAGUACUCCUCUCUUUGUUUAGGUUGAUUUUAAAGUGAAAGUGAUCAUGACAUUGACCUAAAUAUGCCGAACUAAUAAUAAAACACAUAGCCUAACCCUAAA